rnacentral:ncRNA from 1 species
ACCAAGGAGUCCGACAUGUGUGCGAGUCAACGGGUGAGUAAACCCGUAAGGCGCAAGGAAGCUGACUGGAGGGGUCCCGUUGUGGGUUGCACCACCGACCGACCUAGAUCUUUUGAGAAGGGUUCGAGUGAGAGCAUGCCUGUCGGGACCCGAAAGAUGGUGAACUAUGCCUGAGCGGGGCGAAGCCAGAGGAAACUCUGGUGGAGGCHCGCAGCGAUACUGACGUGCAAAUCGUUCGUCUGACUUGGGUAUAGGGGCGAAAGACUAAUCGAACCGUCUAGUAGCUGGUUCCCUCCGAAGUUUCCCUCCGGAUAGCUGGUGCCCGGGUGCGAGUUCCAUCAGGUAAAGCCAAUGAUUAGAGGCAUCAGGGGCACAACGCCCUCGACCUAUUCUCAAACUUUAAAUAGGUAGGACGGUGUGGCUGUUUCGUUGAACCAUCCCAGGAAAUCGAGAGCUCCAAGUGGGCCAUUUUUGGUAAGCAGAACUGGCGAUGCGGGAUGAACCGAAAGCCGGGUUACGGUGUCCAACUUGGUGCUAACCUAGAACCCACAAAGGGUGUUGGUCGAUUAAGACAGCAAGACGGUGGUCAUGGAUGUCGAAAUCCGCUAAGGAGUGUGUAAAACUUCACCUGCCGAAUCAACUAGCCCCGAAAAUGGAUGGCDCUGAAGCGCGCGACCCAUACCCGGCCGUCGGGGCGAUUGCCAGGCCUCGAUGAGUAGGAGGGCGCGGCGGUUGCUGUAAAACCUGUGGCGUGAGCCUGGGUGGAGCAGUCGUCGGUGCAGAUCUUGGU